rnacentral:rRNA from 1 species
CAGCAGCCGCGGUAAUACAGAGGGUGCAAGCGUUAAUCGGAUUUACUGGGCGUAAAGCGUGCGUAGGCGGCUUUUUAAGUCGGAUGUGAAAUCCCUGAGCUUAACUUAGGAAUUGCAUUCGAUACUGGGAAGCUAGAGUAUGGGAGAGGAUGGUAGAAUUGCAGGUGUAGCGGUGAAAUGCGUAGAGAUCUGGAGGAAUACCGAUGGCGAAGGCAGCCAUCUGGCCUAAUACUGACGCUGAGGUACGAAAGCAUGGGGAGCAAACAGGAUUAGAUACCCCUGUAGUCCCUGUCUCUUAUAC